CCUACGGGGAGGCAGCAGUGGGGAAUAUUGCACAAUGGGCGGAAGCCUGAUGCAGCGACGCCGCGUGAGGGAUGACGGCCUUCGGGUUGUAAACCUCUUUCAGUAGGGAAGAAGCGUAAGUGACGGUACCUGCAGAAGAAGCGCCGGCUAACUACGUGCCAGCAGCCGCGGUAAUACGUAGGGCGCAAGCGUUAUCCGGAAUUAUUGGGCGUAAAGAGCUCGUAGGCGGUUUGUCGCGUCUGCCGUGAAAGUCCGGGGCUCAACUCCGGAUCUGCGGUGGGUACGGGCAGACUAGAGUGAUGUAGGGGAGACUGGAAUUCCUGGUGUAGCGGUGAAAUGCGCAGAUAUCAGGAGGAACACCGAUGGCGAAGGCAGGUCUCUGGGCAUUAACUGACGCUGAGGAGCGAAAGCAUGGGGAGCGAACAGGAUUAGAUACCCUGGUAGUCCAUGCCGUAAACGUUGGGCACUAGGUGUGGGGGACAUUCCACGUUUUCCGCGCCGUAGCUAACGCAUAAGUNCCCCGCGNGGNGACGCGCAG
rnacentral:rRNA from 1 species